UAGACAACAGGGCCAAUGUCUGGACUAUGAAUCUAAACUACCUCAACUGCCACUGUACCCACUGGGGAGAAGCAGCCUCUUUCUCCAAGGAUCUGGAAGAGCUUGGGACAAUGAUAAAUGAUGGCCAGCAGCUACAGAGAUGCUGCUUUGCAGAUGAAAAGCAAGGAAUAUCGAGUAAGAUCUCAUGCUAUGAAAAUAAGGACAUAAAAGGAAGACCAAAACCAGACCCCAACAAAACAAAGGAGUUUAUUUUCCAAAAUAGGAUGUUCAUAAGCUAAACAAAUUAACAGCCGAAAGAUGUAGGUGAUGCUAACUUUGUUAACAGACACAAACUGUACCAAGUUAUAACAGUGCAAUAUUAAACAGCACUAUUUACAUGCAUAUUUACAACCUCUGUUGUCUUUACAUAAGUUAUUUUACCUACUGCUUGGGAAAUUUCACACACACAUCUUGUGUUAGGAAAUAGACUCUACUUAAUCUAUUCAAUAUAAAACGAGGAACCCAAAAAAAAA